CGCCGCGUUGGCGGGGAUUACCUACGUUGACAUCGUAGUGGUCACAGGUUCGAUCCCUGUCGCGCCCACCA
rnacentral:tRNA from 1 species